AGGUAGCUUUCCCUUCGAUCAACACACCCCCGAUAGCUUUUUUGUAAAGCUCGAAGCCCUCAUCAGGCAACUCAUUCGCCUCAACCAACAAUUGACCGUAGUUUUCCUAUAAAAUAAUUAAAACACAAAUGAAUAUUCAACCAACAACAGUUGCAGAAUAUAGUUUAAAAAUGACAUGAUGUUUAAAGGAUGAACUUUCCAAACAAACAUUUUUCUAACUAGCAAAUUCAGUUUCACUAAUUUAUCCUCUAUAAGCAUACAAUUGAAGUUAGGAUGCAUCUUCAUAAUAACCUUUAGAAAAUAACAAAGGUAAUCCCCCCAACCUCAACCCCACCUCCUAUUGAACAUUAAGACUAGAUUAAUUACUGUUCCAAAGAAUACUCUGUCUGAGUUUAAUUAGAUAUAUUCUUAAGUGGCUCCUACAAAGUUAUACUAACAUGGUUUUAAAUUUUAGCACAACAAAAGAAUAUAAAACAUAAUCAAAACCACUUUCAUUCAAGUAAUGGAAUUCAGCCCCAACCGAGCUGAAUCGGAUUGAGGCCAGGAAAAGAUAUUUUCUCGGACCCCAAACAGCUCAGCUCGAUC
rnacentral:lncRNA from 1 species